UACGGAGGAUCCGAGCGUUAUCCGGAUUUAUUGGGUUUAAAGGGUGCGUAGGCGGCCUGUUAAGUCAGGGGUGAAAGACGGUAGCUCAACUAUCGCAGUGCCCUUGAUACUGAUGGGCUUGAAUGUACUAGAGGUAGGCGGAAUGUGACAAGUAGCGGUGAAAUGCAUAGAUAUGUCACAGAACACCAAAUUGCGAAGGCAGCUUACUAUGGUAUUAUUGACGCUGAGGCACGAAAGCGUGGGGAUCAAACAGG
rnacentral:rRNA from 1 species